GGCGAACGCUGGCGGUGUGCUUAACACAUGCAAGUCGAACGGUAAGGCCCUUUCGGGGGUACACGAGUGGCGAACGGGUGAGUAACACGUGAGUAACCUGCCCUCAUCUCUGGGAUAACAGUCGGAAACGGUUGCUAAUACUGGAUAUGAGCCUGCAAGGCAUCUUGUGGGUUGGAAAGAUUUUUUGGUUGGGGAUGGACUCGCGGCCUAUCAGCUUGUUGGUGAGGUAGUGGCUCACCAAGGCUUCGACGGGUAGCCGGCCUGAGAGGGCGACCGGCCACAGUGGGACUGAGAUACGGCCCAAACUCCUACGGGAGGCAGCAGUGGGGAAUAUUGCACAAUGGACGGAAGUCUGAUGCAGCAACGCCGCGGGCGGGAUGACGGCCUUCGGGUUGGAAACCGCUUUCAAUUGUGACGAAGCUUUUUGUGACGGUAGCAGUAGAAGAAGAACCGGAUAACUACGUG
rnacentral:rRNA from 1 species